GGGAUCCAUUUCAAGGAAAACAAGAGUGGGACAAUCAGCAGGCUUAAAGAUCAUCAAGACACCCUGAAGAGAUGGAAGGCCACCCCACGCAACAGCUACAGCGCCCAAAACCACGGUUUACCCACCCCCCUUCUGGAUGGGGGGCUACGGGAGGACUACGCGGAGGAGGAGGCGCUGCUGGUUGAAGACAGUUAGGCGGCGCUUUGGCGACACCUAGCGGCAAAUCAGUUCACCAUUUCAGCGCUGCUCAGCAACGUGGCGAGGAAAAGAAAUAAAUGCGAGGGGAAAGCAACGAGAUGAAUCUAUAUGGAAAUAAAGAGACUAAAUCAAAAGUAGAUUAAUAGUAAGCUUCAAAUUCAUGCAAAGUUAUGGCAAAAAUAUAGUAGGGAGCAUUUGGUCUUGUGAAAAUAAAUGGAGAAGAAAAACAUUUUCUAUGAGCAGCAACCAGCAGCGUGCUUGUAAUAUGGAUGUACACAUGCUGAAAGAUAAUCAUUUCAAAAUUCUAAUUUAUGCCAACUCAUAUGCAGACAAGCAGCACGUGACAAAUGUAUGUUACAAUGCACAAUUAAACAAACUAAAUAAGCCCUUUUUGUAUUUUUUUACAAAGACAAUGCUCGUUUUUUGUUUAUUGACCAUUUUAACGUUACAUUAUAAUGUGUAAUUAAAUUUACAAUAUGUUUACAAUUAAAUUAUGCACUGCAGAGCUUUUUCUAAUGUUUCGAUUACACUACACAUAAUUUGGUUUAAAAAUCGAAAAAAUCAAAAAAAAAAAUCACCCAACUGAGUCAAAAACACCAUAAUUAAAUAAAUAAAUUGUUGAGUCAUGACAGUAGCCGUUGGUCCCUUUUUGACCUAUUAUUGUGUUACUCUGGACCCAACUGUUACUUGGACCAUCUUUAGAGAGUAUAAUUUUCCUCUUCGAAGUGUGUGCUUGUGCGUGCGUGCGUUUCCACCAAAUGCCAAUUUAAUGAGCUUGUUGGUCCCAAAAUACCUGAUGCUCCCACAACCUACUGUAAGUGCCAUAAUCCCAGCCUGAUCACAUGAUCCUUCCAGCCCAAUACAAACAGUGUAUGGAUGACAAAAUAUCAAUCGGAGUAUUAUUGGAAGGGUGGUGUUUGCAGCUGGGAAAUAAAAGUUGCAGGGGUGGCUGCAUGGAAGGGUGUGUGUGUAGGGGAAGGGGUGGUUGAGGAGUUAAUAGCGGUCACCCUCUCGCUGCGCCUCUGUCGCUCAUCAUUUAUCAGGCUUAAGGGGCUUAAACAGGCUGCAAAGGCCCACCUUUUAUUACACAUCAACCCCCCACCCCCACCCCCGCCUCUUUUGCCUUAUCUACAUUAUAGGAAGUGUGCACGCAUGCAUGGCUGACUGUUGUUAAUGCCCGUUUGGAAAUAGAAACAUGUCCAAUAAAAAAAAAAAAAAAAAAAGAGAGCUGGGCAUUGGGGGGUGGACAUAGCUUUCGGCAAAAAGCAACACUUGACGCCACUCAUGCGUGCGCAUCUUGGGAGAGGAGGGUGGAUGCUAUCAUGGCCCAAGUACAGUUUGAAAUAUGCUCACUUGUAAAAUAUUAGGUGUCUAAAAUAGAAGUUUUAUUUUUUGAGAAAUUCAUUUCUUUUUCGCUGGACUUGGUUUUUUUUUAAGAUCAUUUUUACGCCUAUGCUUUACUGCCUUAUUUUGACAAGGUUUUCUUUAUUUUACUUUCAGUGUGCACGUGUCCUGUGUAUUAAAACUAUUAUUUAUGUGUGUUGUGAUUACUAUUACAGUAAUAUAUUUGACUAUAAAAAAAGUUUUACUUAGUACAUUAAUAUUUUGGGGUAUUUUUCUUCAACAUUACUUGAUUUAUUUAUGUUUAUUUUACUUGCUUCAUUGGCAAGCUUUUGUGUUUCCUCUGCGUCACUGUAUUUGAUUAUUUGACUAGAAUUACUUCAUUUUAAUGAAAUAUUCAACUGCAAUAUUUUCACAGAUCUUUGGCCAUUUUGUGUUAUAAAUGCUGGUUGUGAGCUCACAUGCAGUCAGCUUGAACGCAGCUGCACACACACACACGCUCGCAUGUGCACACAGCAGCACACACACACACACAGUGACACAUUUUGAUAUUCCAGUCACACAGCAGAGUAAACACCGCUCUCCUAUUCAAUAACCAUCAUUGACAAGAGUCCGUAUAUUCGCGCAUGAGCCUAAACACACAAAUUGCGUGUAAACAAACAGGCCAAAACUCAUCUCCUGCAAUGAAUAGUGUUUAUACAAAGUACAUAUGAUGGAGACUGUAACUGUUUUCUACUUCCUGGUUGGUUUUCAAAUAAAAUUUCAAAUCAAACCUCA